GACGAACGCUGGCGGCGUGCCUAAUACAUGCAAGUAGAACGCUGAAGGAGGAGCUUGCUUCUCCGGAUGAGUUGCGAACGGGUGAGUAACGCGUGGGUAACCUGCCUGGUAGCGGGGGAUAACUAUUGGAAACGAUAGCUAAUACCGCAUAAGAGUAGAUGUUGCAUGACAUUUGCUUAAAAGGUGCAAUUGCAUCACUACCAGAUGGACCUGCGUUGUAUUAGCUAGUUGGUGGGGUAACGGCUCACCAAGGCGACGAUACAUAGCCGACCUGAGAGGGUGAUCGGCCACACUGGGGCUGAGACACGGCCCAGACUCCUACGGGAGGCAGCAGUAGGGAAUCUUCGGCAAUGGACGGAAGUCUGACCGAGCAACGCCGCGUGAGUGAAGAAGGUUUUCGGAUCGUAAAGCUCUGUUGUAAGAGAAGAACGAGUGUGAGAGUGGAAAGUUCACACUGUGACGGUAUCUUACCAGAAAGGGACGGCUAACUACGUGC
rnacentral:rRNA from 1 species